rnacentral:tRNA from 1 species
GGGUCGUUGGAGCAAUUGGAAGCUCGCCGCGUUCUCAGCGCGGAGGUUGCGGGUUCGAACCCCGUACGGCCUA